rnacentral:misc_RNA from 1 species
AAGUCGUAACAAGGUUUCCGUAGGUGAACCUGCGGAAGGAUCAUUAACACGUAUCCAACGUAUCAACCAACCGUGAACUCGUUUUCAACUUCUCCCGGCGCUAGGAAUGAAUGGCAACUCGCCCACACACGUCCAGCGGGAUCUGUAAAAAGGUCUGUGUGGGUCAGUAUACUGAAGUGCGCAAGUGCUUCGACAUUGCAUCCAUAGCGAGCGGCUAUUUUGCUCCUCCCGGCCUCCGCCUGCGGCCUUCGGAUGGUGGCAUACCUAUGACUAUAAUCACACAUUUUUGCUAGUUGACUUUUUAUUGUUGCUUUCGCUUCGGCGUGGGUGACACGUUUAAUGAACGUUAAAAAAUACAACUCUUAGCAAUGGAUAUCUCGGUUCUC